GGGGGGGGGGGGGGGGGGGGGUGGGGCGGGCGGGUCGGGCGGGGGGGGGAGGGGCGUGCUCCUCGGACGUGAGCGGCGGGCGGGGGAGUAAAGCGUGGGUAACCCACCUAUAAGACUGGGGUAACUUCGGGAACCCGGAGCUAAUACCGGAUACUAUAUUGCACCGCAUGGUUCAAUCGUGAAAGCCGGUUUUGCUUUCCUUUCUAGAUGGAUCCGCGCCGCAUUAGCUAGUUGGUAAGGUAACGGCUUACCAAGGCAACGAUGCGUAGCCGACCUGAGAGGGGGAGCGGCCACACUGGAACUGGGACACGGGCCAGACUCGAAAGGGAGGCAGCAGUAGGAAAUGUUGCGCAAUGGGGGAAAGCAUGACGGAGAAACGCCGCGGGGGGGAGGAAGGUCGUGGGAUGGUAAAAAUCUGUUAUUAGGGAAGAACAAAUGUGGAAGUAACUAUGCACGUCUGAAGGGAACAAAAGAAGAAAGCACGGCUAACUACGUG
rnacentral:rRNA from 1 species